rnacentral:rRNA from 1 species
AGAGUUUGAUCAUGGCUCAGAACGAACGCUGGCGGCGUGCUUAAGACAUGCAAGUCGUGCGAGAAAGCUCCUUCGGGAGUGAGUAAAGCGGCGCACGGGUGAGUAACGCGUGGGUAAUCUGCCCGAGGGUCUGGGAUAACUCCGGGAAACUGGGGCUAAUACUAGAUAAGACCACGUUGUCUGCGGACAGCGCGGGAAAAGGUGGCCUCUGCUUGCAAGCUACCGCCUACGGAUGAGCCUGCGUCCCAUUAGCUAGUUGGCGGGGUAACGGCCCACCAAGGCUGAGAUGGGUAGCUGGUCUGAGAGGACGACCAGCCACACUGGAACUGAGACACGGUCCAGACUCCUACGGGAGGCAGCAGUCGGGAAUUUUGGGCAAUGGGCGAAAGCCUGACCCAGCGACGCCGCGUGAGGGAUGAAGGCCUUCGGGUCGUAAACCUCUGUCGGAAGGGGCGAAAGGUUCUUGGGCGAAUAGGCCAAGGGCUGACGGUACCUCAUAGAGU